AUUGAACGCUGGCGGCAGGCUUAACACAUGCAAGUCGAGCGGAGCGAGGGUGCUUGCACCUUAGCUUAGCGGCGGACGGGUGAGUAAUGCUUAGGAAUCUGCCUAUUAGUGGGGGACAACAUUCCGAAAGGAAUGCUAAUACCGCAUACGCCCUACGGGGGAAAGCAGGGGAUCUUCGGACCUCGCGCUAAUAGAUGAACCCAGGUCGGAUUAGCUAGUUGGUGGGGUAAAGGCCUACCAAGGCGACGAUCUGUAGCGGGUCUGAGAGGAUGAUCCGCCACACUGGGACUGAGACACGGCCCAGACUCCUACGGGAGGCAGCAGUGGGGAAUAUUGGACAAUGGGCGGAAGCCUGAUCCAGCCAUGCCGCGUGUGUGAAGAAGGCCUUUUGGUUGUAAAGCACUUUAAGCGAGGAGGAGGCUCUUAAGGUUAAUACCCUUGAUGAGUGGACGUUACUCGCAGAAUAAGCACCGGCUAACUCUGUGCCAGCAGCCGCGGUAACAC
rnacentral:rRNA from 1 species